rnacentral:rRNA from 1 species
UGAGGGAUAUUGGUCAAUGGGCGGAAGCCUGAACCAGCCAUCCCGCGUGCAGGAAGACGGCCCUAUGGGUUGUAAACUGCUUUUCCGGGCGAAGAACACCCCCGACGUGUCGGGGUCUGACGGUAGCCCGGGAAUAAGCACCGGCUAACUCCGUGCCAGCAGCCGCGGUAAUACGGAGGGUGCGAGCGUUAUCCGGAUUUAUUGGGUUUAAAGGGUGCGUAGGCGGCCUUUUAAGUUAGUGGUGAAAACCUGCGGCUCAACCGUAGGCGUGCCAUUGAAACUGAAGGGCUUGAGUUACCGUGAGGCAGGCGGAAUGUGCAGUGUAGCGGUGAAAUGCUUAGAUAUUGCACAGAACACCGAUUGCGAAGGCAGCUUGCCAAAGGUUUACUGACGCUGAUGCACGAAAGCGUGGGGAUCGAACA